rnacentral:rRNA from 1 species
AUCAGACACGGUGUCAGCCGCCGCGGUAAUACGUAGGGUGCAAGCGUUAAUCGGAAUUACUGGGCGUAAAGCGUAGCGCAGGCGGUAAUGUAAGACAGUUGUGAAAUCCCCGGGCUCAACCUGGGAACUGCAUCUGUGACUGCAUUGCUGGAGUACGGCAGGAGGGGGAUGGAAUUCCGCGUGUAGCAGUAGAAAUGCGUAGAUAUGCGGAGGAACACCGAUGGCGAAGGCAAUCCCCUGGGCCUGUACUGAC